ensembl:lncRNA
UUUACAUAUGUGCACUGAGAAUAUCUAAUAAUAAUCGCUUUGUAAAUAAGGAUGCAUUACGAAAGAAAUUAAAUGCGCAAGAGACUGUGGUAAUAUUUUCCCUUUGAUACUAUAAUACUGUACAUGGCGUCCAGGUCAUUUUCAUUUCUCUUAGAAUAAAAACCUUAGUAUAACAGUUUUAGUAAAUAAUAUGCUACAGUCCAGUUACAGCUUGUUCUGAUCAAGUAAAAAUAAAAAAAUAAGUAUUUAUUUGGGUGUGUGUGCAGGACAGAGAAAUAGCAAUUCUUACACUAUUGUUCAGGAUGAAUGGAAAAUUGUGUCAAUUCAUAAACCAUGUGCCAUCAAAAAUCUCUUCAACUAUUUUGAAAUCUACAUGGCUCGCCGCCAAUAAUUACAUUUAGAGUAUUGGAGGAUUCUAAAUUAAUAUGCAAGGGGCAUUUUUUGUUAGAGCAAAUCUGGAAAAUGACAUGCGCAAGAGAUUGUGGUAAUAUUUUUCCUCUUAGAGAAUAUUAAACAGACAUUCAAUGACAUCAGCAAGAGAUAUGCUGGACCCAAUGUCAGAGAGGUGUUUUUGGGACCACAUCGUGUCAAUUGUCCUGCUAAUAGCGCUUGUGAAAAACAAGUGUUUGAAAACAUUAACGAUAUUUCAGAGCUUAUUUUGUUUUCAAAUAACAGAAAGUUACUGGCUGUACUAGAGAAUUGAAAACCUAUUUUAAAUUCCUACAUAUAGUAUACGAGAUUGAUUUUAAGAAAUGUAGCUUAAUUAAUUUGAUUAAUGUGCCAAGAAAAACGAAACCCUCAGGAAAAUAUACAUGACCUUUAUUUAACUAGGCAAGUCAGUUAAGAACAAAUUCGUAUUUACAAUGACAGCCUACACCGGCCUAUGGGAUUCCCAAUCACGGCCAGUUGUGAUACAGCUAACCUAACUAAGAAAUGCAUUUGACGAUACAAUUCUCCCCCUACCCUCCUUCAUGGCAAGAAUAUAUUGUCCUGCUAAUAGCCCAUAAUGGCGCUGUACAAUGUGACCGGUUUGGAGUAGGCUACACUACUACAGUAAGAACAAAAUAAUCCUAACAUUUUGUCACAAGAAUUUUCAAUCCCAAUGAUGAUUGCAAUCACUAUAGCUUUGACCAAUUCCCCCUAGGUUGUAAAGCUAGGGUUAAUAAGAAUUAGGCAAAGUCUCAGAUUCUGCAAAAGGUUCGUUGUGGUUUAUUCAUGAGAGCUCUAAAAACCAUAUAAUGCACAUAGCCUUUUAUAUAACUCCUACAAGCACCUACAAGUCUACAAGCACAUCUGUUCCUCCCUGGAUGGAGGAACUUUAUCUCCUGUCCUUGGUCUCACAGGACCAAAACAUGUCUGUUGUCAGUUCCUCUUUAUCACACACAAACACAAUGUUUCCACUGUCUCACAAUAUUCUAGUAUUAUAUCUAAACACAUUGUCUAAGCUUCUGUAACUAUUAGGGUGAAGUACUUUAGUCAUUACUCUUAAUGUCAUUCAGAUUAUUUUAUUAUUACUUUAAACACAUACAUUCCCUUAUCACAUUUCCACACCCUAAUUGUAGUCGAACAAACAUCCACACGGAGAUUCAGGGAAAAUAAAAAUCUCAAUGAUUUAUCAAGACCAGUCCCAUGCUUGUCUCGACCUGCCGUUUCCCCUCACCUCUACCAUUAAUUUGGAAAAUAUUGAAAAUAUUGAAAUUUUCCAGUAAGCAACAAUGUUUACAUACAUUAGCCUACUUUAUUUCAAUAUUUCUGUCAUUCAGUGAUAUUUCUUCAUUAUGGAUCCAUAUGGAAAAUGACAUGUGCAAGAGGUGGUGGUAAUAUUUUUCCUUUUAGAGACUAUAAUAUGACAUCCAGGUCAGGAUAACCAAAACAUUUCUUUAUUAAAAGACUAUCAGAAAGAAUGUUGGUACUUAUUUAUUUUGAUUCAAAGCCAUGAGUGAGUCACUCAACUUGAAGUAGGUGCCGAGGCUAUAUGACUGCGGCAUCAACUUGAUGUAGGUGCCGAGGCUAUAUGACUGCGGCAUCAACUUGAUGUAGGUGCCGAGGCUAUAUGACUGCGGCAUCAACUUGAUGUAGGUGCCGAGGCUAUAUGACUGAGUCACUCAGCUUGAUGUAGGUGCCGAGGCUAUAUGACUGCGGCAUCAACUUGAUUAUAUUCAGUCAACACAUAUCUUAAGAAUAUCAUGGAAUUUUCAUUUCUCUUAGAAUAAAAACAGGAUAACAACAGUUUUACUAAAUAAUACUGACAAGUAGAAACAACAAAAGUGUGUAUUUUUCCAGGUGUGCGCGUGCAGAACAUAAGAAUAGCAAUUCUUACACUAUUGUUUUAAAUUCAAUCACCUUCUUCAUCCUCAUCAUUCAGUUAAUUGAAAUUCAAUUUUGAAGUAGUGCACAAUUAUCAGUUUCUACUUGGUUUAGAACGCCCAUUCAUUGUCAGUUAGAGCCACAGUAGAGCCUUGGGACCCAAAAUCAUAAAUCAGUGCUCUAACUCCCCCUUGCACUGGUCUGGAGAAAUGAAGCAGUGAUGCAGGGUACUGUACUAAACCACAAAUGACCUCCAGCAGUAUAAUCACAACACUUUUCAUUGAGCAACCACUAUGUGCACAGUAGCAAAGUUAACCAGCAUGUUGGUGUUGAGAACAACGUGGCGGAGGCAAGAAUACAGCUCUUGCCUUAAUUCUCUAUAAUAGUCUAUAAAUUCUCUAUAAUAGUAUAUAAAAAGUGAGUAGAGAGGAGACCAACUUAAUUAGGUCUAUAAUCAAUAGCCUAACUGUUAAAUGUGCUUGGCUUUAUAAAUCAUCCAUAUUCAUCGACAGAUCCUGCUUCUUUUUGAGUGUUUGUUUAAUAGCCUACUGAUUCCGUGAGCACUAAGCAUCACACAACAUGUCAGAUUAAACCAUUUUACAAAAUGGUCUGUUUUUAGUCUUUGCUAUGCUGCUAUAAAGGCUUCAGACUUUUUUCAUUAAAACAGCUGCUGGUAUUAUUUAAUGUAGUUUACUCUGUUCCAAAUUUUCAGAAAAACAAUAUUCAUAAUAACAAUGCUUCUUUCUUCUUGAUCUCCUUAUGUUAUCAUCAUCAUCGUUAAAGUCAUCACAGAGCAUACGAGUCAUUCAUGAUUUGAAAUGCAAAAUAAUUACCGUAAAUAAUGAACCAUUUCCUUUUGGGAAAUUGCAUUCACAAAUGAAUGUGAUGGUUUAAUCUUUGCUGUAAUAAAGGCUUUACAAAACCCCAAAAAACUUUACUCUCUAGUACACUUCUAAUAUAUUUAGUGUUGUUUACAUGGUACCAAAAUGGUCCAACAGCACUCUAGUAUUUUACACAACUUAGUCACAUUUACUCCACACAUCAGACUUCCCUUUAACCUCCCUGCGCAACCAGUAAACAUUACCGUUUCAACUUUAUUGGUCAUGUCCUCUGCAUCCAUGUUGCGGUCACGUGUUCAGAGUUUGUUAUAUACCCUGAUGAAGAUAGCUUGGCUGUCGAAACGUUGGUAAUUACAUUUUUGCAUCUGAGCUCCUAGAGUGUGCGGCUCUCUUUUAUUUUCAGAGUUUGUUAUAACCAAUUUAUUGAUUUGAUUAUGAGAUGCUAUAGGCCGGGCCCUAUUGGUCACAUGGAUGCGAUGCAUACAAGUAAAGAGAACAGGCGUUGAGGGAAUAGGGAAUGUUUUUCCGAAACAAAUGUGGGAUUUCGGUAACAGGACUUUUCAGUCAGAAAUGGCUGUAGUUAUGUUGCAGCUUCAACAACACGGACAGCAUGAUAAACACUGUUGAAGUUCUGUGGUGGUCGCUGCAGCAGGGAGGAGAGGGAGACAACAGGUGCUAGUCAGUGUCACUUGACUUUUUUUAACACAGCAAGUAGGAGCCUGAACCUUUCCCUGUGUAGGGUGCAGUCUUUCGGAUGGGACGUUAAACGGGGGUCCUGACUCUGUGGUCAUUAAAGAUCCCAUGGCACUUAUUGUAAGAGUAGGGGUGUUAACUCCUGUGUCUUGGCUAAAUUCCCAAUCUGGCCCUCAUACCAUAAACGGUCACCUAAUCAUCCCCAGCUUACAAUUGGGUCAUUCAUCCCCCCUCCUCUCCCCUGUAACUAUUACAUAGGUCAUUGCUGUAAAUGUGAAUGUAUUCUCAGUCAACUUACAUGGUAAAAUAAGGGUUCAAAAAAUAAGACCAUAGAAUUGCUUAUUUUGGACAGAUUUUGGCUUUGUCUCCUCCCCUCUUGCUCAGCUGAUCAAACAUGGUCUGCCGCAGUAGCCAGCGCAUAUUAGCUACUGAGAGCGGAGUGAUUUUAAGAAUCAGGAACUAGUGUUGGGCGGAUGAGUAAAAUCUAAAUGUUUAAAGUUCCAUGUCCUACAAGACAGACCUGUUGAGGGACGAGCAUCACGUAGGAGUGAAGUCACCUAAGGUGAGAAGAUAAUGUCAGGAUCUUAUUAAUGAAGUUUCUCAGCCUUUAACACAGUGCAACCUCACCUGCUACUGAUAUGCCUUUGUGACCGACAAUUCCUUCAGAAGGUAUACAUACUCCUCGACUUAUUCCAGAUAUAGAACACUAUAAAAGGAAAACUCUAGGUCCACAACGAAAACACCCACCCACAGCACGCACCCUUCAACAUGCUGCCGCCCGGUCGGAGAUUAAAGGUGCCACAUGCAAAAAAAAAAAAAAAAGUUUACAAAACAAUCCUUCAUCCCCCCUGCAGUGACGAUCCUCUAUGGUGAACAGACAUGGAAAAGCUCAGUGUGGAAUGUGCAUUUUUAUGUGUUUUUAUCCUUAAGUUUUUAUGUAGAUUUUUUUUAUCCGUUCAAUGCCAAGAGCGCCAAAGCAAAUUUUCCAUUUUGUGCAAACCUAAUGGACAAUUACUUUUUCUAAUGCUAAUUCUCUUUCAGCCUUCGAAGCCUACCCAACUUCACUUCAUAAAUACUUAUCACGAUUCAAUCAGUGGAUCAAAGGAAGAGAAACUCAUACAUGUUAAUCCAAGAGCGAGAAAAAUGUGUCCGUUUUACACUUUACACAAAGUAGCUGAACAAUCUAACGAACCAUGAGUAGGGUCAAAAACCAUGAAAUCCUGAUACUUGAUUCGAAAUAGAGGAAGUUUGGGAAAACUCCAUGCUCAGGGGAAAGGGCCCGCCUCGGUGCUGGAAGACAGCAGUCCAGUCCUUUUGAGGUUGAAAGGAAUUUGACCAAGUCCCCCACCUCUAGAAUGUUACGGUAAAGCAAUCACCUUUAGUUAAAAAGGUCCAAUGUAGCCCUCUCAGUAUCAAAUCAUUUAAUUGUGCUGCGCCCAUCAUUGUUGGCUCAAUAACCCACAUUUUUUGUUUAACAUUGUUGUCAGGACAAAUUCCAAAAGUAUGGAAAUCAUCUCGUGCUGCCAACUCCAUAAGGGUGGGGAUAGUAGUGAUCAAAAAU